ensembl:snRNA U2 U2 spliceosomal RNA
AUAAAUUCUCGGCCUUUUGGCUAAGAUCAAGUGUAGUAUCUGUUCUUAUCAGUUUAAUAAAUAAAUAAAUAAAGGUAGAGCUUAAUUCUCAUCUUGAGUAUAUGUGACUUGCU